rnacentral:rRNA from 1 species
AUUGAACGCUGGCGGCAUGCCUUACACAUGCAAGUCGAACGGUAACAGGUCUUCGGAUGCUGACGAGUGGCGAACGGGUGAGUAAUACAUCGGAACGUGCCUAGUAGUGGGGGAUAACUACCCGAAAGAGUGGCUAAUACCGCAUGAGAUCUACGGAUGAAAGCAGGGGAUCGCAAGACCUUGUGCUACUAGAGCGGCCGAUGGCAGAUUAGGUAGUUGGCGGGAUAAAAGCUUACCAAGCCGACGAUCUGUAGCUGGUCUGAGAGGACGAUCAGCCACACUGGGACGGAGACACGGCCCAGACUCCUACGGGAGGCAGCAGUGGGGAAUUUUGGACAAUGGGCGCAAGGCGGAUCCAGCAAUGCCGCGUGCAGGAUGAAGGCCUUCGGGUUGUAAACUGCUUUUGUACGGAACGAAAAGCCCCGGGUUAAUACCCUGGGGUCAUGACGGUACCGUAAGAAUAAGCACCGGCUAACUACGUGCCAGCCGCCGCCGUAA